UACAGAGGUUGCAAGCGUUAUCCGGAAUGAUUGGGCGUAAAGCGUCUGUAGGUGGUUUUUUAAGUCCGCCGUCAAAUCCCAGGGCUCAACUCUGGACAGGCGGUGGAAACUACCAAGCUGGAGUACGGUAGGGGCAGAGGGAAUUUCCGGUGGAGCGGUGAAAUGCGUAGAGAUCGGAAAGAACACCAGCGGCGAAAGCAAUCUGCUGGGCCGACACUGACACUGAGAGACGAAAGCUAGGGGAGCGAAUGGG
rnacentral:rRNA from 1 species